rnacentral:lncRNA from 1 species
GGGUAGCCCCCAGGGCUUCCCUUGUGCUUCGGCUUCCCUCACAGAGCCCCCAGCCUGUACAAGGAGGAUGAACCCAACGUUUUUGCGGAGCCGGCCGUCCUGGCACAGCAGCUGCUCCCCUUCCUGCUGCAGCUCCUGGAGAAGGUGCCCGAUGCCAGCCCACUCCGUGCCUCAGCCCUGCACUGGCUGGAGGCCACAGGCCCUGGAGUCCUGCGGGACCUGCAGUACUGCAGGCACCUCUGGAGCCAAGAGGCCGUCGCACGCUGGUGGAUGAAGGCUCUGGGCUGUGCCAAGCUGCGGGUGGCCCUGGCUGUGCUGCUGGUGAGGGCCAGGCUGGCGGCCCAUGCGCUGCGAGUGCUGGGCGAGAGCCACGGGGCCGUGCCGGGGCUGGGCUGCAGCUCCCAGGAGCUGGAGCAGGAGCUGGCGCUGGUGCAGGGGCUGCUGGCACAGCACGGACUGGCCCCCACGCCCAGCCAGGGCGAUGCACCGAGGGAACCGGGAUCACUGCCUGGGAACGACUGAUGGCUCCAGGCAUGGAGUGGCAUCACACUGAGCUGGCUCUCGCUGCUGUGUCCCUGCGUUUUUUUGGGUGCUCGCUGCAGCCAGGCAGCAGGUUUGGCAGUGGAACUUGGGGAACCCCACUCGCCGUGUGGGACGUGCUUGCUUUGGAUGCAGCAGUGCUGGUGGUGGGAGCGAGCAGCGCUUUGCUCUUCGGUUCACACGGGGUGGUCGCUCUGCAUCCCAGUGGCACCAGCACAGCAUCACCUCCCUGUGCCUGCUCCCUGCAGCACUCCCUGCCCCCGGGUCCAGCUGGGAGGACAGGACACGCAGCCCUGUCCCCUGCUGGGACACCCGCUGACCGUUUUCAACCAGGAUUUUGGCUCUUUUUGCGGGAGCCUUUUAUCCCAAAUAAAGAACCCCGAAACCACCCCGCUGUCAAAGCCUUUCCAUGGCCUUUCUCGGGGG